UACAGAGGGUGCUAGCGUUGCUCGGAAUCACUGGGCGUAAAGGGUGCGUAGGCGGGUUUUAAGUCAGAGGUGAAAUCCUGGAGCUCAACUCCAGAACUGCCUUUGAUACUGAAAGUCUUGAGUAUGGGAGAGGUGAGUGGAACUGCGAGUGUAGAGGUGAAAUUCGUAGAUAUUCGCAAGAACACCAGUGGCGAAGGCGGACUCACUGGCCCAUAACUGACGCUGAGGCACGAAAGCGUGGGGAGCAA
rnacentral:rRNA from 1 species